rnacentral:rRNA from 1 species
GAUGAACGCUAGCGGCGGGCUUAACACAUGCAAGUCGAGGGGCAGCAUAAACAUUGUUUGCAAUGUUUGAUGGCGACCGGCGCACGGGUGCGUAACGCGUAUGUAACCUACCUCAAACAGGGGCAUAACACUGAGAAAUUGGUACUAAUUCCCCAUAACACUCAUUAAGGCAUCUUUUUGAGUUGAAAGUUCCGGCGGUUUGAGAUGGACAUGCGUUGUAUUAGCUAGUUGGUGAGGUAACGGCUCACCAAGGCGACGAUACAUAGGGGGACUGAGAGGUUAACCCCCCACAUUGGUACUGAGACACGGACCAA